rnacentral:rRNA from 1 species
UACGUAGGGAGCUAGCGUUGUCCGGAAUCAUUGGGCGUAAAGCGCGCGUAGGCGGCCCGGUAAGUCCGUUGUGAAAGUCAAAGGCUCAACCUUUGAAAGCCGAUGGAUACUGCCGGGCUGGAGUCCGGAAGAGGCGAGUGGAAUUCCUGGUGUAGCGGUGGAAUGCGCAGAUAUCAGGAGGAACACCAAUAGCGAAGGCAGCUCGCUGGGACGGUACUGACGCUGAGGCGCGAAAGCGUGGGGGAGCGAACAGG